rnacentral:rRNA from 1 species
AGAACGAACGCUGGCGGCACGCCUAACACAUGCAAGUCGAGCGCCCAGCAAUGGGAGCGGCGGACGGGUGAGGAACACGUGGGAACAUGCCUUUCGGUUCGGCACAACUGCGGGAAACUGCAGCUAAUUCCGGAUACGCCCUUACGGGGAAAGAUUUAUCGCCGAAAGAUUGGCCCGCGUCUGAUUAGCUAGUUGGUGAGGUAAUGGCUCACCAAGGCUUCGAUCAGUAGCUGGUUUGAGAGAACGACCAGCCACACUGGGACUGAGACACGGCCCAGACUCCUACGGGAGGCAGCAGUGGGGAAUCUUGGACAAUGGAGGAAACUCUGAUCCAGCGAUGCCGCGUGAGUGAUGAAGGCCUUCGGGUUGUAAAACUCUUUUACCAGGAAGAUAAUGACUGUACCUGGAGAAUAAGCCCCGGCUAACUCCGCGCCAGCAGCCGC